ACAACAGAAGACUUGGAAAUCCUCCUGAUCAAAACCAUGACUUUGAUCUGCGUCCUCAUCUGGACUCUCCUCUGCUUCACUCAGGGGUCUGAUGGACAACAUGUUGUGACUCAGCCAGCAGCCAGAUCAGUGCAGCUUGGUCAGACCGUCUCUGUGGACUGUAAAGUCAGUCCACCAGCAGCCUUUGCUGGUUUUCAACACUUCCGGUAUCUUUCCUGGUACCAUCAGACACCUGGAGAAGCUCCUAAACUCCUGAUUUAUUUAACAUCAAGCAGAUUUUCAGGAAUCUCCUCCAGAUUCAGUGGAAGUGGAUCAGGGAAUGGAGCUGACUUCACUCUGACCAUCAGUGGAGUUCAGGCUGAAGAUGCAGGAGUUUAUUACUGUCAGAGUUACCACUAUGGCGGUGUGUUCACACAGUGAAAAAGCAUCGUACAAAAACCUCUUUCAGUCUGACUGAACAGAAACUGAUGCAGCUCACUGAACACACUCAGGUUUUCAGGCCAUGAUGAAUUAAACUUUGUUCCUAAAUAAUCAGAAGUUUUAGAAAAAAAAGGUUUCAAAUAUUACAAUAGAAAUUAUCUUUUGUGAUGAUUAUCUUAACACCAACAACAUUUUCCAAUAAUUAUUUGCCACUUAAAAUCAGAGAAUCAGAGAAUCAGAGAGAAUUUUAUUGCCAGCGCUCCAGCGAAGCAGAGCAUAGGAACUUGACUCCACAGAACAGCCUGACCAAGGUUACACACACACACAUAUAGACAGAACAGAUACAGGCAGAUCAGGAGAGCAGCCAUAACGGCGCUCAUUUCAGUAGAUGAAGAGGGGAUUACAUGAGGAGAAUUAGGGGAGGGAAAAAAAGGCAGAGCAGAGUUACACCUGGCAGGGAGUAGCUCUACUAUGCAAAAAUAAAACACCCCAACAUGUAAGCAC